GCCAGUUGCGUAGGGCCCCACAAAUUACGCAAAGGCCCCGCCUCCCCCUCGUGUCAAAGCGGGUGCCAAUGUUUACAACUUCGAUGAGAGGAUGAAGCGGAACAAUCCUUCUGGUCACGUAAAGAGAGAUAAAAAAACACACCAUGAUAGUUAAUUGCGGGAACAGCAAUCAGACAGUCCAGAUAGACUGGUGUCCAUGCUGAUGCUGAAAAUGCCCAG